rnacentral:rRNA from 1 species
CCUACGGGGGGCUGCAGUCGAGAAUCAUUCGCAAUGGGCGAAAGCCUGACGAUGCGACGCCGUGUGUAUGAUGAAGGCCUUCGGGUCGUAAAGUACUUUCGCUUAGGAACAAGAGAGUUUGGCUAAUAUCCAGACGAUUUGAGAGUAUUAGGUAAAGAAGCACCGGCUAACUCCGUGCCAGCAGCUGCGGUAAUACGGAGGGUGCAAGCAUUAAUCGGAUUUAUUGGGCGUAAAGGGCGCGUAGGCGGACAUGAAAGUCAGAUGUGAAAUCCUGG